GAUGAACGCUGGCGGCGUGCCUAAUACAUGCAAGUCGAGCGAACGGACGAGAAGCUUGCUUUUCUGAUGUUAGCGGCGGACGGGUGAGUAACACGUGGAUAACCUACCUAUAAGACUGGGAUAACUUCGGGAAACCGGUGCUAAUACCGGAUAAUAUUUUGAACCGCAUGGUUCAAAAGUGAAAGACGGUCUUGCUGUCACUUAUAGAUGGAUCCGCGCUGCAUUAGCUAGUUGGUAAGGUAACGGCUUACCAAGGCAACGAUGCAUAGCCGACCUGAGAGGGUGAUCGGCCACACUGGAACUGAGACACGGUCCAGACUCCUACGGGAGGCAGCAGUAGGGAAUCUUCCGCAAUGGGCGAAAGCCUGACGGAGCAACGCCGCGUGAGUGAUGAAGGUCUUCGGAUCGUAAAACUCUGUUAUUAGGGAAGAACAUAUGUGUAAGUAACUGUGCACAUCUUGACGGUACCUAAUCAGAAAGCCACGGCUAACUACGUG
rnacentral:rRNA from 1 species